CAAGAGUAAAAGAGUGCAAAGCAGAGAAACUACAAUGAUGCAGUAAACAUUAGCAGCAUUUUUUCUCUGAGGGGAUGACUUUCGGCGACAGGCAGUGGAGAUUCUAUGAUGGAUAUGACUCAUGGACCUGCAAUGAAAGCAGUUUGUAUUACUUGGACAAUUGAGCCAUAAGCAUGAUCUGAAAUGCAUUCAUGAGAUCUUUUUUAUUUGCCAAUGUUGAUGCCUAGUAUUCUCUUGAUUCUUGAAAUAAUAUCAAGGUCUGACAAGGCUUUUGCUUUUGGGCGAAGGCAGGUACAUUU
rnacentral:lncRNA from 1 species